AUAGCUAAUCUGCCCUACACUAGAGGACAACAGUUGGAAACGACUGCUAAUACUCUAUACUCCUCUUUAACAUAAGUUAGAUAGGGAAAGUUUUUCGGUGUAGGAUGAGGCUAUAUUGUAUCAGCUAGUUGGUGAGGUAAUGGCUCACCAAGGCUAUGACGCAUAACUGGUCUGAGAGGAUGAUCAGUCACACUGGAACUGAGACACGGUCCAGACUCCUACGGGAGGCAGCAGUAGGGAAUAUUGCUCAAUGGGGGAAACCCUGAAGCAGCAACGCCGCGUGGAGGAUGACACUUUUCGGAGCGUAAACUCCUUUUGUUAGGGAAGAACAAUGACGGUACCUAACGAAUAAGCACCGGCUAACUCCGUGCCAGCAGCCGCGGUAAUACGGAGGGUGCAAGCGUUACUCGGAAUCACUGGGCGUAAAGGACGCGUAGGCGGAUUAUCAAGUCUCUUGUGAAAUCCUAUGGCUUAACCAUAGAACUGCUUGGGAAACUGAUAAUCUAGAGUGAGGGAGAGGCAGAUGGAAUUGGUGGUGUAGGGGUAAAAUCCGUAGAGAUCACCAGGAAUACCCAUUGCGAAGGCGAUCUGCUGGAACUCAACUGACGCUAAUGCGUGAAAGCGUGGGGAGCAAACAGGAUUAGAUACCCUGGUAGUCCACGCCCUAAACGAUGUAUACUAGUUGUUGCUAAGCUAGUCUUGGCAGUAAUGCACCUAACGGAUUAAGUAUACCGCCUGGGGAGUACGGUCGCAAGAUUAAAACUCAAAGGAAUAGACGGGGACCCGCACAAGCGGUGGAGCAUGUGGUUUAAUUCGAAGAUACGCGAAGAACCUUACCCGGACUUGAUAUCUAACAAAUCAUCUAGAGAUAGAAGAGUGUCUGCUCGCAGAAAUGUUAAGACAGGUGCUGCACGGCUGUCGUCAGCUCGUGUCGUGAGAUGUUGGGUUAAGUCCCGCAACGAGCGCAACCCACGUCAUUAGUUGCUAACAGUUCGGCUGAGCACUCUAAUGAGACUGCCUUCGUAAGGAGGAGGAAGGUGUGGACGACGUCAAGUCAUCAUGGCCCUUAUGUCCGGGGCGACACACGUGCUACAAUGGCAUAUACAAUGAGAAGCAAUAUCGCGAGAUGGAGCAAAUCUAUAAAAUAUGUCCCAGUUCGGAUUGGAGUCUGCAACUCGACUCCAUGAAGCCGGAAUCGCUAGUAAUC
rnacentral:rRNA from 1 species